rnacentral:rRNA from 1 species
UCAAGCGUGAGGUAAGGGCAUUUGGUGGAUGCCUUGGCAUGUACAGGCGAUGAAGGACGUGGCACGCUGCGAUAAGCGUCGGUGAGCUGUGAGCAAGCUUUGACCCGACGAUUUCCGAAUGGGGAAACCCACCUUCACCAAUUAAUUCAGUGGUUGAGCGAUCAACUACCGAGUUAAUUGGGGCAAGGUAUCACCGAAGUGAAUACAUAGCUUUGGUGAAGCGAACCCGGCGAACUGAAACAUCUCAGUACCCGGAGGAAAAGACAUCAACCGAGAUUCCGUUAGUAGUGGCGAGCGAACGCGGACCAGGCCAGUGCCUUGAUUUCAACUAGCAGAACAACCUGGAAAGGUUGGCCAUAGCGGGUGACAGCCCCGUAUGCGAAAGUGAUGAUCAAGGACUCGAGUAGGGCGGGACACGUGAAAUCCUGUCUGAACAUGGGGGGACCACCCUCCAAGCCUAAAUACUCGUACAUGACCGAUAGCGAACUAGUACCGUGAGGGAAAGGUGAAAAGCACCCCGACGAGGGGAGUGAAACAGUACCUGAAACCGAAUGCCUACAAGCAGUGGGAGGGGCUUUAUGCCCUGACCGCGUACCUCUUGCAUAAUGGGUCUGUGACUUAAUGUAUCAAGCAAGCUUAAGCCGAUAGGUGUAGGCGCAGCGAAAGCGAGUCUGAAUAGGGCGACUUAGUUUGAUGCAUUAGACCCGAAACCCGGCGAUCUAUGCAUGACCAGGAUGAAGGUGCGGUAACACGCACUGGAGGUCCGAACCGAUUAACGUUGAAAAGUUACCGGAUGAGUUGUGCUUAGGGGUGAAAGGCCAAUCAAGCCGGGAAAUAGCUGGUUCUCCGCGAAAACUAUUGAGGUAGUGCCUCGGAUGAACACCCUAGGGGGUAGAGCACUGGAUGGAUGCGGGGGUCGCGAGAUCUACCAACUCUAACCAAACUCCGAAUACCUAGGAGUGAUAUCCGGGAGACAGACGGCGGGUGCUAAGGUCCGUCGUCAAAAGGGAAACAGCCCUGACCUACAGCUAAGGUCCCCAAGUCACGUCUAAGUGGGAAAGCAUGUGGGAAUCCCAAAACAACCAGGAGGUUGGCUUAGAAGCAGCCAUCCUUUAAAGAAAGCGUAACAGCUCACUGGUCUAAACAAGGGUUCCUGCGGCGAAGAUGUAACGGGGCUCAAGACGUGCACCGAAGCUUAGGGUGUGAUCGUUUACGAUCACGCGGUAGCGGAGCGUUCCGUAAGCCUGUGAAGUGGAAGGGUAACCGACCAUGGAGGUAUCGGAAGUGCGAAUGCAGACAUGAGUAGCGAUAAAGAGGGUGAGAUGCCCUCUCGCCGAAAGACCAAGGGUUCCUGCGCAAGGCUAAUCCGCGCAGGGUGAGCCGGCCCCUAAGACGAGCCCGAAGGGGGUAGUCGAUGGGAACCACGUUAAUAUUCGUGGGCCUGGUGGUGUGUGACGGAUUGCGUGUGUUGUCAGCUCUUAUCGGAUUGAGCUGGCUUCGAAGCAGUCCCGGGAAAUAGCCCCACCGUAUAGACCGUACCCGAAACCGACACAGGUGGUCAGGUAGAGUAUACCAAGGCGCUUGAGAGAAGUGUCCUGAAGGAACUCGGCAAAUUGCCUCCGUACCUUCGGAAGAAGGAGGCCCUACAUAGGCGCAAGCUCUUGUAGGGGGCACAGGCCAGGGGGUAGCGACUGUUUAGCAAAAACACAGGGCUCUGCUAAGUCGGCUUCAAGACGACGUAUAGGGCCUGACGCCUGCCCGGUGCCUGAAGGUUAAGUGGAGGAGUGCAAGCUCCGAAAUGAAGCCCAGGUAAACGGCGGCCGUAACUAUAACGGUCCUAAGGUAGCGAAAUUCCUUGUCGGGUAAGUUCCGACCUGCACGAAUGGCGUAACGACUU